GGUUUAAUUCGAUUGAUACGCGAGGACCUUACCUGGGCUUAAAUGUAGAGUGCUAUUUUUUAGAGAUAGAAAUUCCCUUCGGGGCUUUCUGCAAGGUGCUGCAUGGUUGUCGUCAGCUCGUGCCGUGAGGUGUCGGGUUAAGUCCCAUAACGAGCGCAACCCUUAUCGUUAGUUGCCAUCUGGUAAUGCAGGGGACUCUAGCGAAACUGCCACCGUAAGGUGAGAGGAAGGUGGGGAUGACGUCAAAUCAGCACGGCCCUUAUGUCCAGGGCUACACACGUGUUACAAUGGUCGGUAUAGAGGGCAGCUACCUGGUGACAGGAUGCUAAUCUCGAAAACCGGUCUCAGUUCGGAUCGAAGUCUGCAACUCGACUUCAUGAAGUCGGAAUCGCUAGUAAUCGCGGAUCAGAACGCCGCGGUGAAUACGUUCUCGGGGUUU
rnacentral:rRNA from 1 species